rnacentral:tRNA from 1 species
GAGGAGCCGGCGGGCGAGGCGGCGCCGGCCGCGCUCGCCGUGCGCGGCCGGGGCGUUCCGCACCGCUUCCUCCUCU